rnacentral:rRNA from 1 species
UACGUAGGGUGCGAGCGUUAAUCGGAAUUACUGGGCGUAAAGCGUGCGCAGGCGGUUUUGUAAGUCUGUCGUGAAAGCCCCGGGCUCAACCUGGGAAUUGCGAUGGAGACUGCAAGGCUUGAAUCUGGCAGAGGGGGGUAGAAUUCCACGUGUAGCAGUGAAAUGCGUAGAGAUGUGGAGGAACACCGAUGGCGAAGGCAGCCCCCUGGGUCAAGAUUGACGCUCAUGCACGAAAGCGUGGGGGAGCAAACAGG